AGUGGCGCUUGUUGAUCUUUUGUCCAGUUGUGGUUCCCUAUUAUGCACCGACUCUGAGUCAGAAGCUGGUCUAGCUGCUAGGUUUUCCGCGCCGUUCAACGCUGCCGGCGACUGCUCGACUGGUAGCGCUUGACGUCCCUCGGAAGUCGCCGUUGUCUGAGCCUCCUGGUUCAACGCGCAGGCGUCGCGUUUUCCAUCUACAUCUCCCUUAGAGGCGUUGGCGUUCUGGGUUUCGUGCACAUCAUGAUCAUUCUCAAGUGACUUCCCGGGACGACUGCGCUUUUGCUCGCGCUGCGAGGCGGCGUCUGUCGACAGUUGCCUCAGUUCUCCCGAGACCAACUGGAUAAUUUCAUCACCUAGGCCUGCUCGCUCACCCGCAAGAAGAGAGUUAAGCUCUCCGGCCAUAAAUUCUGCGCUGCGUCGGUUCUCAACCAUGGUCAAGAUGUACUCGGGAAGCAUUUCCUCCACGGGGUGCGGCCCCGCUCCGAAGAGUGCACGCAGACGCUCCUGAAGUUUGCCGAGCAACGCAGUCCGUUCUUCAUGGUUGAGUUUUCGCUCUAACAGAACCCCGCCUUGCGCACCCUGUGCUGCAGUGUUCAUAAUACAAACGAAAACUUAGCCGUGAGGUCUGAAACCCCGCCAAAGCGUGUCUCGAGAAGCCUUGUGGAUAAAAACGCACGUGGCAGAGUCGGCUUCGACGCACACCGUUAUGCUCAUUUGUAUAGACUUGUACAGUUCUCGGUUUGAGCGCUGUGUGGCGUACGCGUUUCAACUCCUGCCUCAGCAACCUGAAAAUCGUUCGUCUUUUUGGCACGACUCGCGAGUCAAAGGUCUCUAUCGCAGACGCUGCGGUGCCUGGGAAGCGUCAAGAUAUAGAGGCGCCUUUGCGGCACGGUUGGGUUCAGCUCCAGGGUUCAGGGACGUGUACGGUAUGCGAGUCCGCUGGCGCUCGUCGAAGAGUGCCGCUGCUGUGCGUGUCUGGUAAGGGCGCCGUCGACGUUUGGCACCAGCGUUGGGAGUGCAGCCAGCCCUUGUGGACUCGAAGAGCUAUUCACAAACAUCAAACGGUCUUUCAGUGAAGGUGGCAAGCUGCGAACUAAAAUCGAGCAAGCUAUGCUUGACACUAGGACGUGGAGGGCGCUAUCCUGGUUUAGAGGCCGCUGCGAUGCGCGCCUCGUUCUCGAGUUUCACGUGGUUGCUGCCGGGCCAGCUUGGGGAGAGCAAAUACAUUGGGAGCGCAUUGGCAUAGCGACGGCUUCGGGAUAGGGAUCAGGCAGGAGCAGACGAAUACGCCCGUGUGGAACGUCGGACAGGUGUCGGCAAACGCAUCGUGUCGCCCAAAACGCUCAGCAAGUCACCAAUAUUCUGUGUAUUUGCAUCGGUUGCUGGAAGACGGCUCAUAUGUUGUGAAAUGCUAUAUAUCGUUCAUGAGCAUAUACAGCGCGUAAUGUGUGCUGACGAACGUCUAGAGAUCAGUGGGCAACAUCCUUGCAGGUCUGCCGGCCUGAUAUGGUUAACGUCAUUCAUUGACGAGAGCGCGCUUUCCUUGAGGGUACCAGGGUGCUUAUUGAACGCAGUAUGGUGCAAGCUGGCCAGGGAAAUGGAGAAUUUUCGCAUGUGCCCCGCAUUCCCCGCGUCGCCUUUUAGGAGCUCUGUGGAUAAUCAGCAUGGCACGCAGCUGAUGAGGUGCUCCUGCUGCCCUAGUCUCCGUUUAUGCCUGAAACAGAUGAUUGCCAUUCAAGUGAAUGCAGGAUGUGCCAGUAACUCGCAUGGAGACGGUUUCGUGCCGUAACGCACAGUGGCCCACUGACCACAUGCGCGAUGAGACUUCUACGCACUCGCACAGUUCGGUAAUAGACGCCUGCUGAUAAAGGUAUCCGCACGCACC